GAGAAUGUCACAGGCAAAUUUGACUGAGUACUGCUUGGAUUUGUCAUGACGCAAUUCCCAAGAGUCACAUAUGUUUUCCUGCAAAAAAAAUUAUCAAUUAGUUCAAGUUCCCAAGUAAAAAAGGGUGUCUCCAAGAGAAGUUUGUAAUGCCCCGAAAAUUACUCCAAAAAUCUUGCUCAAAACUGAGUAAUUUUUUUUUGAAUGAUGAAGCCAUAUAAAAUUUACUUCCUUAUAUUCAUUUCAUUUUCGGAACAUCACUCUAAGUAACAUACAAUGCAGAAAAUCAAAAACCAUUACGUAAUGGUAAUAAAAAAAAUAACUCAAUAUAACUUUGAAUCAUACUUCAUUAGAAUAUCAUAAAAUGUUGGUACGAAGUACAAGACGGAAUCCUAAUCGUCGCCCAAAUAAAACUACUCACAAAAUAAAUACCUGACACAGGUACACUAAUCAAAAAGCACAAGGGCCUGUGUAGGUAUAACGGUUUCCCUCAAUCGUCCAUACCCCCUCCUAGGACAUCGAAAAGUGGUAACUCUGAAUCCUAGUCGAACGAUCCAUCUGAACAAACGUGAAUAGAAGACAAAUAGAAAGAAGAGGGAGUAAGACAUCUAAUGAAUAUUACUUAUUGACGACAUGGAAUUACACAGAAUAUUACAUCUAGACAGACAUGCAUAACAUACACAAUAUAUAUAUAUCACUAAGAGACCCCGGUUUGAAAAUGGUAAUCUUGGACGAAGCCCAUAAGAGCAAACUAAGUAUUCAUCCUGGAGCUACCAAGAUGUAUCAAGACUUGAAGAUGUUCUGGUGGUUUGGUAUGAAGAAAGAAGUGGUAGAGUAUGUCUCGUGCUGCUUAACGUGUGAGAAGACAAAGAUCGAGCACAAGAGACCCGAAGGGGAACUUCAACCUUUGGAUAUUCUCGUGUGGAAAUGGGAUAGCAUUGCAAUGAAUUUUGUGAGCGGAUUUCCUCGAACUCCCAAAGGUUAUGACAUAGUUUGGGUGAUAGUGGAUCGUUCGACGAAGACAACUCAUUUUCUACAAAUCAAUAUGAAAUACUCAUUAGAAAGGCUAGCGGAGUUGUACAUCAAAUAGAUUGUCUGAUUACAUGGUAUUCCUACAAAUAUCAUCUCGGAUAGAGACCCAUGUUUCACUUCGAAAUUGUGGAUGGUUUGCAAACAGCCUUGGGUACCAAACUGAGUAUGAAUUCAGCUUACCACCCAGGUAGUCCGUUUUGAGCGUUUUUGGCGCCCCAACGAUCGUACUUCGCGGUGUUACAAUCCUCCCCCACUUAUAAGAUUUUCGUCCUCGAAAAUUAAACGUACCUCUUAAGCAAACAAAGAGGGGCAGGACUCUUUCAUGUUGUCCUUGAAUUCCCAAGUUGCAUCUUCUCCAUUUGAUUGGCUCUAGAUCACCUUGACUAGGGCAAUCUCCUUGCCUCGCAAUGUCUUCAUGCCGCGACCCGCAAUUCUCAAGGGCAUAGUUUCAAAAGUGAGAUUAUCCUUUAGUUGGAUUGAAUCGAGUUCAAUGAUGUGCAAUGGGUCACUAAUGUACUUUCUAAGUUGAGACACAUGGAAGAUAUUAUGUAGGUUUGACAAUAACGGUGGCAAGGCUAUUGGUAAGCUACUAGUCCGACUUUUCUAAGGAUUUGGUAUGGUCCUAUGAAUUUAAGGGUAAGCUUACAGACUUUAAGAACUCUACCAAUAUCAGUCGUUGGAACCACCCUCAUGAACACAUGAUCUCCUUCCUCAAAACUGAGAGAGUUCCUCAUUUUAUCAUAAUAGCUCUUCUGCCUAAUCUGAGUUGUCUUAAUGUUUUCUCUUAUCAUUAUGAUCUUUUAUGUCGUCUACUGAACCACAUCGGGUCCUAGUAUCAGAUUCUCUCCUACUUCAAACCAUCAUAAUGGUGUUCUGCACUUUCUACUAUAAAGAGCUUCAUAUGGCGCCAUGCCGAUACUCAAAUGGAAACUGUUGUUAUAGGUGAACUCUAUCAAAUGCAAGUAGUUCGUCCAACUUCCAGAAUGUUCCAACACACAUGCUCUCAGCAGGUCUUCCAAAGAUUGGAUAGUUCGUUCAGAUUGGCCAUCUGUCUGCGAGUGGUUAGCUGAACUCAUACUCAGUUUGGUACCCAAGGCUGUUUGCAAACCAUUCAAAAAUUUCAAAGUGAAACUUGGGUCUCUAUUCGAGAUGAUAUUUUUAGGAAUACCAUGCAAUCGGACAAUCUCUUUGAUGUACAAAUCCGCUAGCCUUUCCAAUGAGUAUUUCAUAUUGAUUGGUAGAAAAUUAGUUGUCUUCGUCAAACGAUCCACUAUCACCCAAACUGCGUCAUAACCUUUGGGAGUUCGAGGAAAUCUGCUCACAAAAUCCAUUUCAAUGCUAUCCCAUUUCCACACGGAAAUAUCCAAAGGUUGAAGUUCCCCUUUGGGUCUCUUGUGCUCGAUCUUUGCCUUCUCACAUGUUAAGCAGCACAAGACAUACUCUACCGCUUCUUUCUUCAUACAAAACCACCAGAACAUCUUCUUCAAGUCUUGAUACAUCUUGGUAGCUCCAGGAUGAAUACUUAGUUUGCUCUUAUGGGCUUUGUCCAAGAUUACCAUUUUCAAAUUGGUGUCUCUUGGCACACAGACCCGGUUCUUACAUUUCAGCACUCCAUCAAAAACGCCCAAAACAAGUUGUCUGGCCCUCGCUCAAGCUUCAAAUUGGGCCUCAUCUCCAACCUCUCCCUCGCCCGCGCGAGGUGUUCUAGUUACCAGGACCAUUUUCCUCACCCUUUUGGGCUACCGGGCCGAGAGUCUUCGUUGUUUUCGAUCCCUAUGCAUUUUAGUUUCUCAAGUGGUGUUCCUUCAUGGAUAACUACCACAAUAUUUGAUAUUUUAAGUUAUCCUAAGCAUACAACUUAAGAAAGUAUCCAUACAAAAUCCAUGCACGCAAAUAUUUGAUUAAGUACGAGUUUUCUUAAUACACAAAUAUAACUCCAAAAGUUUUGAGAUAGUUUAGGAGAUCCAGGUGUCAUAUUCAGACACCACUAUGUGACGAUGUAUUCUCCUUCCGCUUUUUGUACUUCUUUCUUUUGAAAGUAUGAUGCUUUUGUAGGACUGGAUAAGUGCAUUUAAGAUGAUUUGGUUUUCUGCAUAUAGAGCAUACAAAGUCUUGCUUUGAUGUAGAUGUUUCACUACUUGUUGUGAACCUUUGUACUUGUUCGGUUCCAUGCAUCCUGUCUAGAGUGUCCCAAAUUUCUUUUGACGAUUUUGCAACUUGAGACUCUAAGGAAUUCUUUUUCUCCUAGAGCCGACACAAGAAUGUUUUUUGGCUUUAAGGUCGUAUUGCACUUUCUUUUUAUCAUCAUCAUUCCAAGAGGAUUUUGACUUAACUUCCCUUACACUAAUAGUGAAAGGUUCAUAAGAUCCUUCAUUAAUCACAUUCCAUAUGUCCAGGUCUUGAGACUCUAUAAAUAUUCUCAUCUUGAUUUUCCAAAAAUCAUAGCAUUCUCAAACGAUAUUUGGAGGGUGAUUGAUGUUGGAACCUUCUCCCAAAAAUGAUCUUGAGGCCAUCUAUGAAGUAGGACCAAUUUGAGAAUAAUUUACUCAAAAUAAGCUAUAAUACCAAUUGUAAGUAUUAGAUGGCAACUAAGAAGGAGUGAAUUAAUUGUUGGGAGAAAUGACCAAUGUUUUUCUAAGAUAUCAAAGUGUUUGUGCAGUGAAUUAUUGAUGUAGAUAUCAACCAAGUAAAGCAAUAAUAAAAACACAAGAGUAGAUUAGAAGAAGAGUACACAAAGAAUUUUUAUAUUGGUUUUCCUUCUUAUCCAUCGAAGGUUACAUCUAGUAAUCUUGCCACAUAAGAGAUUUUUCCACUAGAUAAUUUAAGUUGCAAUUACAAUUUCUCUCCCCGAGACCCUUGUACCUUACACACUCACAACUAUCUACCCUUGGAAAACAAAAUUUCCAAGUGAAAUCUUUUCCCCUUCUCAAUACACCGUUGUGAUGAAAAGUUUACAACAAGAUUAAGAAUUUAGCAAUGGCGGGAUUGACUUUAUAAGUUUUUGACAAUGCUAUAACUUGCAAUCCUUUUCUCACAAUAUAUACUUAGUAAACAAUGCUUUUAUAUCUUUGAAAGUUUAGAACAAAGGCACUUAAAGCAACAUCAUAAAAUCUGAAAAUUAAGAACAAAGUUGCAAAAGAGUGCAUAAAAGUGUUUCACUAAGUAUUGAAAGUUUCGUGUAUUGAUUGUAUGAUUCGUGUAUGUAAUUGAAUGUCUCAAUGUGUUUAAAUAGGUUUCCAAUCAACCAAAGUAAUCUUCCAUGAAGAGGAGACACGAUUAGAAUGAAACCUAUUCACUUUGGAUUAAAGUUGUUCAUUUGAAUUUAAAAAUAUGGUUUCAAACAGCUAUGGGUAAUCGAUUGUCACGACUGUGUAAUCGAUUGCCAAAAGUUUCUGUCCAAAGUGGUAAUCGAUUAAUACACUGCAUUAAUCGGUUACUCAAUGUCAUUUAUGCUUUGUAACUGUUUCCUUAGUCAGAUAACAUGUUAUUUAGAUCUAGUAACAUGUUACCAACUGUCACACGAUUUAGGUAACAUGUUACCUAGAUCUAAUAAUUUGUUACUUAGGUCAAGUAACUCGUUACUUAACAUUAUUGAUAUUUUAUCAAGACUUAUUCAAUUAUUUUGGAAAUAGUUUUAUUCCUUUGAGCAUUGCUACUAAUAUAUAACAUGAGUGUAAGGAUAGAAGUACAUAUUGAAGACUUUAAUCUAUAAUUUCUUGAAGCUUGAAUCUUAUAUGCCUUCAUAGUCUUCUUCCUUCUUCUUUUUAGUGAUCUUGGUGUUUUCAUCAAAACCAUGCCAAGUUUAUGAGCAAGAUCUUCUUCACAAUCGAUAACAACUAUAGUGAUGGACAAUCUGAAGGUAUAGGUUGAAGUUUUCUACCAACGCUCCUCAUACCAUAGUUGGAAAAUUGUGUUAUACCUAUGAUAAUUUAUCUUUUAGCAGCAACUUUGAACUGUAAUUAAAUGUCAAAUUAUUGUAGUGAACCAUUGUUGCCUUCUUAUAUCGUAAGGCAUUACAUAUAGGGCACACCUUUAACGAGACAUACUCGUUCAAAAUUAAAAUUUCAUCAUUUUCACAUGCAUGUAUGAUGUAUCCUCAUGUAGUCUUUCCCAAUAGGUUCGAGUAGGGAGCAGAUUAUCCUCCGGCAACAUAUAAUUCAAAAUUUUAAGUAAGUUUGUAUAGAUCUUAAUAGUCCAUCCAUUAACAGAUUUUAACCUAUACAGCCUUGACACCAGUGUCAAUCUUGAAUUUAGCACAACCGUAUAUAAUGCCUUCUCAACAUUAAUUAUCAACAAUUUAAACAAGUGUCAUUUCUUCAAAAAUAUCACCCUCAUAUGUAUAUGUCUCAAUAUCAUUUGUAAAGCUCUUAUCAUUAACUCCAUCUUUUGUCUCCCCAUCUCUUGUCUCAUCAUACCAUGUUUGACAUGUGUAACUCUAAUGAAUUUCAUGGAAUACUAAAUGAACUUUUAACUUGGUUGGACUAACUUUCCUUAUAUAACAACAAAGCGUUAGGUGGGGUCGAGUAUGUGGAUCGAACAAUCACAUGAUGUUCUAACAUAAAUCAUUUUCAUUGACAAUGAAUUGAGCUCUAAGUCUCCUCUUUCCUCUAGGAAUUGAACUAGCUUCCAUUUGAUCUACUCUCCUUAGAGGAACUUCCAUUGGUAUCCGUCACACAUGUCCAAACCACCUAAGUCGUGAUUCUACCAUUUUUUCUAUAAUAGGAGCAACUCUAAACUUCUCUAGAUGCAUUCAUUUUUAAUCUUAUCUAGUCUAGUGUUCCUACUCAUCCAAUGCAAUAUUCUCAUCUCUUCUGAAUGGAAUCUAUUCUCUUGUUGGCAUUUUAUCACCCGUUAUUCAGUCCUAUAUAACAUUACAAGUCUUGUCAAUGUGUACUAAAACUACCUCUUAAGCUUGAGUAGUACAUUUUUAUCACAAAUGACACUUGAAGCACUCUGCCAUUUUAUCCAACCUACAUAAAUCCUAUGGUUCACAUCUCCGUCAAUUUCCUCAUCGCCUUGUAUGAUUGACUCAAGAUACUGAAAUUUAGUGACUUAUGGUAUGGUGUUAUCCCCAAUCUAUACCUUUACAAUAGAUUUUGUUCGCCUCUUGCUAAAAUUACACUCUGUAUACUCCUUCUUACUUCGAAUUUUAUUACAUCCAUGUGCUUCUAAAGCUUUCUCCAUGAUUCUAACUUCCCAUUUAAUUCAUCUCUCGAGUUUCCCUCUAAGACAAUAUCUUUUCAAAGAUCAUGCAUUAUGGAAGUGGUUUUUGGAUAUGUUCAAUGAUCACAUCCAAGAUGAAUAUAAACAAGUAGGGUCUUAAUGUUGACCAUUGGUGUAGUCAUGUGGUAACAUGUAAAUUUUCUAAGACUAUAUCUUAUGUUCUCACGCUGGUCUUGACCCCUUCGUACAUAUUCUUGAUUGCUCCAAUAUAGAUAAUGUGAACAUCUUUGUUCUCUAGAAAAUUCCACAAAACCUCUUUAGGCACCUUACCAUACACAUUCUCCUAAUCAUUGAAGAUCAUAUAUAAGUUCCUUUAUUUCCUUCGAUAUAUUUCCAUCCGUCACCAUAGCAAGUAUAUAACCUCCAUGGUCGACCAUCCCGAAAUAAAACCAAUUUAAGUUUCAGUGAUAUUCAUAUCUUGUCUCUGAAAGUGUGCAUGUCAAGUGGAACACUUUGGAAAGCUCUCCUUGAACGUCAUGGUUUUGAUGAGGACAACGUGUGCCUAAAAGUGCUUGAAGAUAACCAACAAUCCAACGUGCUUAAGUCUUUUAUUUGGUACUAGGCUUAGACUAGCUUCUAGUUUAAGUUGAGUCGAAGGCUUAGGGCACCUAAAACAUGUCUCACAUGCAUUUAUCUUUAAAUCAUUUCAUCCAUGAGAUAUGUUCAUUUGAUAAUAUGUUCAUGCAUUACAUAAAUACAUGUAUAUAUGCAUUCUAGGCAUAAAACUAAGUGUCAAACAUGUAUUAUCUAAGUGCAUAACAUAUUUGAUGUUUUCUAUUUGAAAAUACAUAUUUUAUUUAGUGUUAAUCGAUUAACCAUACCUUUAAUCGAUUAACCCAACUGCUGUGUAAAGUGGUUGCCACUGGAACACGUUUUUGUAAUGCAGUUNNNNNNNNNNNNNNNNNNNNNNNNNNNNNNNNNNNNNNNNNNNNNNNNNNNNNNNNNNNNNNNNNNNNNNNNNNNNNNNNNNNNNNNNNNNNNNNNNNNNUCCAAUAAUGUCACCUUUAAAAACCAAUUUUCAACUCAUGAGUAUCUCUGAUAAUGAUUUAUGCAUGAGUUACAUGAAUGAUUGAAAUGUAUGAAUGUCAUGAGGAUGUAAUAUUUGAUUCAUGCAAUAUGCAUGCAUGUUAUUUUUUGUUUUGAGUUCGUGUGAAGAUGCAUGCACUAAUUUAUUUUCCUUUUCGAUAUUUUGUGGUGCAUGUACGUUGGUGCAUGAAAUGCAACAUUUGAAUGAUUUGUUAUUAUGAAUGUAUGUAAAUGAAUGUAAAUGUGUGAUGAUAUAUUCUUUUUGUAUAAAUGAUAGAUGAAUGUUUGAUUUCUUGUAUGAAUGUUUGAAUGAUGCAUGAUAUUUUUUUUUUUGAUGAAUAUUUGAAUGAUGAAUAUUUUGAUGAAUGUAUGAAUGAAUAUUUUGAUGAAUGUAUGGAUGAAUAGUAUGCAUGAACUUGAAGUAGUAAUGUCAAUGUUUUUUGAAUGCCCUUAGGGUAUGAUAGACCCUAUUUAGGGGAAAUAUAGCCUUAGUUACAAUAUAAUAAAAUGUCAUGAUGAAUUUGACACCUAUUAUACUGUUAAGGCCAAUUCUUGAGUUAAAUGAUAAAGUUGUGAGCUUAUUAAGAUGGAAGAGAACAUAUCCAUAGGGCAAUGAGCCCAUCGAUAGGAAUGAAAAAAUUAUCCCUAGGGCGCUUAGCCCAUGGUAAGGAAUGAAAACAAUUAUCCCUAGGGCGCUUAGCCCAUGGUAAGGAAAUGAACAAUUAUCCCUAGGGCGUUUAGCCCAUGGUAAGGAAUGAAAGAAUUAUCCCUAGGGCGCUUAGCCCACGGUAAGGAAUGAAAACAAUUAUAAUUAUCCCUAGGGCGCUUAGCCCACGGUAAGGAAUGAAAACAAUUAUCCCUAGGGCGCUUAGCCCAUGGUAGGGAAUGAAAAAUUAUCCCUAGGGCGCUUAGCCCAAGGUAGGGAACAAAAAAUAUAUCACUAGGGCGCUUAGCCCAUGGUAGGGAAUGAAAUAAUUAUCCCUAGGGCGCUUAGCCCAAGGUAGGGAAUGAACAAUUAUCUUGUCGUCCUUAUAGAAUAAGGACAUCAAAGUGCAAUAAUAUCCUCGUAACACUCUGUCACGAGGACUUUUUAGGGACAAAAGUCACAAUUUAUAAAUGGUGAAGGAUAANNNNNNNNNNNNNNNNNNNNNNNNNNNNNNNNNNNNNNNNNNNNNNNNNNNNNNNNNNNNNNNNNNNNNNNNNNNNNNNNNNNNNNNNNNNNNNNNNNNNAUAGUUUUAGAAACGGUAUUGGUCGUAGACCUUCUCCUCAUUUCUAUGGGAGUUAGAGACGACUCGAACCAUGACCUCACUAUAAAAGUCUCAUAAAACUUGUUUGGUAAAAUAGUUUUUAAUUAUUUAUAUAUAUUGAAUUUAAUGAUAAAAUGGUUAUUAAUUAUACAUAUAGAAUUAAUAGUUUAGAGACGGUGUUGGUUGUAGACCUUCUUCUCAUUCUCAGAGAAGUUAGAGACAACUCGAACCGUAACCUUACUAUAAUAAUCCCAUAAAAUUUAUUUGGUAAAGUAGUUUCUAAUUAUUUAUGCAUAUAGAAUUUAUUGAUAAAAUCGUUUAUUAAGUAUAUAUGUAGGGAAUUAAUAGUUUAGAGACGGUGUUGGUCGUAGACCUUCUUCUCAUUUUCGGAGAAGUUAGAGACAACUCGAACCGUAACCUUACUAUAACAUUCCUAAUUAAAAUAGUUAAUGUCUAAUAAUGGACACUUUUCAAUUCCUCACAAUUUCACACCAACUAUAUCAAUAAUAAAUUACAACAACCAAAAUAAAAAUAAAAAGGAAAACUUAUUGAGUUAAUUAGAAGGGCUAACCCCAUUUGCACGUGAAGGGGACCCAAAAAGGGAAUGAAAUCCCUAAAUCCAACAUUUCCCCCUUUGUCUUCUUCUUUCAAUCCAGCGGCAGCAAUGGCGAGCAAGAGGCUCACGUCGGCGCAAGAGACGAUGACGACACUGCUUCGACAUGCUAUCUCCCUUCCUUCUUUGUUCUCCGUCCUUCUCAUCUCAAUGGCGCCGGCAAAGGGAACGGUUUAUGGCUAAACCGAGCUCACCGAGGAGAUCCAUCGACGGUGAAGCCUCAAAGCCACCAAGCUUCUUCGUCUAUGGCAAUGGGCAACCGAGAGCGAUAUGGCACUGGUUCGUGACGGUGGUGAUUCGCGGAGGUUCGGUUCUCACUUCCGGUGGCUUAUGGUGGUUCGGUUCUAAAAGGUAGGGGAAGGCGAUAGAGACCCGAAAAUCCCAAUAAAGGUAGUAAUUCAAUUACACUCUUAAUUUAACUAUUUCUGAAAGGGUUACUAAUGAUAGAUUGAUUCAGGUAUACGAGGUUCCUGAAUGGGAUUGCAGUGUUUCACGGUGAAGAUGAUUGAAGGUGGAGGUAGUCACGGCUAGCCUUACCAGGAUUGGG
rnacentral:lncRNA from 1 species